GGCGUAGCUGCGUCGCCGCUGGCUCUGCUGGCAUCAAACGGGGCCUCCGUGCUGGACUGCGUCUGCAGCCACGUCGGCCGCGGUGAGGGAGAGGUGUUUUCCUGCAGCUGUCAGCGCAGGGUGUAAGCGAAUAACACGAAGUCAAUCGCUGCGAAAUGUGAUAGACAGGAUGCAGGAUCCAACUACUCGCCAGAUCCUACAUCACCGAUGCAAGUUCCUGAAAAGGAUGUGAUGACCUCGACACGCCUUGCACCGCGGUGCCGGUUGUGGCGCACCCGGCACAGAGUAGCUGGUGUCACGGACCACCGUCGCCUGCAGAGGGAGACCAGCAGCCCAGAGACGAGGAGGGGCGCGGCGGCGCCCUGGUGGCUGUUCGCAGCAUCACCUGGACCUCUGGCAGGGGACUCAGCGAUGGCCUCGCGUGCCUCGUCGCUGCCGACUGCACCAACCCCUGCUCCGUGCACAGCUGCGGUCGACGUGCCAGCAGACGCAGUCCAGCACGGAGGCCCCGUUUGAUGCAAGCAGAGCCAGCGGCGACGCAGCUACGCCCGCUGGACGCGUCGUCGGCUGUCGAAGCUGACUGAGGUGGCGACACACGCAGUGCGCGUCGCACGGAGAACAGUCCCAGUACAGCGACGAGCGAAGCGGAAGUCUUUCCGCAGGAUGAAUAAACCACCGGAUCUCAGCCUCAUUCAAUUUUCCUUUCAGAAUGACCUGCUGCCAACACACAGUCGUAACAGAAAAUUAUUCGUUACUUUUAUGUGUACUUACUUAUACUCUACGCUUUCAGAACGACAACGACUUUAACUAAAAGUUUUGUGGACCAUGUCCAGAAAUUCUGGUUUACUAUUCCGAUACCAAAAUCGUCAGGCCAGCCCUUCCUUCGCAUGAGCCGAAGGAUUAGGACCACUGCCCAGCGCGAGACAGAAUGCCAGGAGGAGGGGCUGUGGGAACGUGACGCGCUGAGGAGUGUGCAGAGUCGCAGCAGAGAAGAAUGUGGAGUAAUUCUAGAAACGGCCAGGGCUGCAAAGUGGGAAAACAGUUGACACGUGCGACUCUGACAAAGCACAGAGUGUUAUUAGCCGAUGCAUGGGAAUGAAACUGGUUGGAGGACAGAGAAACCACAGGAAGGAGACAAGGUGUCGGUAGGGGACGCCUUAUCGCAGGUUGUGGAAGUCAAAACCUUGCCCGCUCUGUAGUGCAGGAUUGGCGGUGAUCUGUGGCCAACCUGACGGCAGAGCACAACCCUGGUGCUGACGACCCUUACCUGAUACCGUGGUGACACGACGCCAUCGUCAGCUGCGACUGCAGAGAGCACAGUGAGUUUGAACAGUAGAUCAAUGGUAACCCGUCUCCAGAUAAACAGAUUUGUUUGAUACCUCAGAUCGGUGGUCGGGUUGCUGAUACGCCAUCAUCCACGCGAGCAGCUGCAGCAGACCCCAGACGUGAGUCGGUGGGGAAAGUGUUAUGCUGUGUGGGACAUUCAUCUGGGCGUCCUCGAGACCUGUGGCAUCAUGAAAGCUGUUCACUUGGGCAACAUUACUGCGGACCACCAGCACCCACUCAUGAAUGGUGUUUCCUUAACAGCAAUACCAUCUUCCAGACGAACAACUGUCUAUGCACAAUACUGAAAUUGUCCUAUAGUGAUUUCUCUGCUCUCAUCCCGAUGCUUCGCAUCUCUGAAGCUAUUGGGUCUCAGGCCAACCCCACAAAUAACUGGCCCAUAAUUUACAUUUAUUGCGUGACCUGUGCGCAUACGUCUGCUGCUGUACACCUCCGUAAACCUACCGUGGGUUUGUCGAAGACAUGCCAUCCUGAAUGCCGGCUGUAUUGCGUUCCACAGAUGGACCAACACGCCAUGUGUCUCAUACAUUUACACAUGGUUAAAAUAUUUGAUCGGCUUGCUUACGAUUUCGUCGGAUUUGGAUUCUAUAACACCAACACUUCAUGGUACUCAUCAUUUUCACUAGUUCAUAAAUAAUGUUUUAUUUCUAUUUUCCACAUAAUUUGUUAAUAUUCAUGUUAAUUUGUAAUUUAGCAUUUAACAUGUCCAUUUUCUGUAUGUGAAUUGUAAACUGUGACAUAUUGUAUAGUGUAUAUAUUAUUCGUCCGUUUUGUUACAGUCCUAGUGACAAUUUUUUUUCUCAAACUGAAUCAAUAGAUGCGAGUUGCUGUUUUUUUGAGUCGUACGAUACCAUUUUUGUUUUCGUUUGUGCAGUACCUCAUUUUUUGCACAUGAACAUGGGUUUUCAUUGUACUCAUCCAUUAUAUCUGGAUUUUAUUCUAUGUCACAUUUAUAAGAAUAUUCGGUAUGCUUUCUAUGUAAAAGUAUGGGCAGCCUAGAAAUCCAGCAAAGCUGGUAAUUUUAACGAACGAAAAUGAAUGAGAUGUUACAUCUCGUAAACUGAAAACAAUUUAAUGAAAUAAAUAAUUGUAAGAACUCUAAUUUCGUUGAGACCAUCACAAGAUCACAGAGAAUAUUUUGUUUUAAUGACUGAAGAUAUACACUGAAGAGCCAAAGAAACUUGUACACCCGACAAAUACAUAGUGUAGGGCCCCCGCGAGCACACACAAGUGCGGCAGCAAGGCGUGGCAUGGCCUAGACUAAUGUGUGAACUGGUGGUGGAGGGAACUCAAAUCAUGAAUCCUGCAGCGCAGUCGAUAAAUCCGAAAGAGUACGAGGGGGGGGGGGGGGAGAUCUCUUCUGAACAGCACGUUGCAAGGCAUCCCAGAUAUGCUCAAUAAUGUUCGUGUCUGGGUAGUUUGGUGGACAGCGGAACAGUUCAAAGUCAGAAGAGUGUUCCUGAAGCCACUCUGUAGCAAUUCUGGAUGUAUAGGAUGUCGCAUUGUCCUGCUGGAAUUGCCCAAGUCUGUAGGAAUGCACAAUGGAUAUGAAAGAAUGCAGGUGAUCAGUCAGGACGCUUACAUAUGUGUCACCUGCCAGAGUCGUAUCUAGACGUGUCAGGGGUCCCAUAUCACUCCAACUGGAAACGCUCUAGACAAUUACAGAACCUUCACCACCUUUAAAAGUCCUCUGCUGGCAUGCAGAGUCCAUGAAUUGAUGAUGUUGUCACCAUAUCCGUACACGUCCAUCCGCUCGAUACAAUCUGAAACGGGACUCAUCCGAUUAGGCAACACGUUUCCAGUCAUCAACAGUCCAACGUCGGAGUUGAAGGGCCCAGGUGAGGUGUAAAGCUUUGUGUUGUGCAGUGAACAAGGGUACAAGAGCGGGCCUUCGGCUCCGAAAGCCCAUAUCGAUGAUGUUUCGUUGAAUGUUUCGCACGCUGACACUUGUUGGUGGUCCAGCACUGAAAUCUGCAGCAGUUGGCGGAAGGGUUGCACUUCUGUCACUCUGAAUGAUUAUCUUGAGUCGUCGUUGGUCCCGUUCUUGCAGGAUCUUUUAGCGGCCCCAGCGAUGUCGGAGAUUUGAUAUUUUACUGGUUUCGUGACAUUCACAGUACACUCGUGAAAUGAUCGUACGGCAGAGUCCCCGCCUCAUCGCUACCUCGGGGAUGCUUUGUACCAUCGUUCGUGCACCGACUAUAACACCACGCUGAAACUCAUUUGAACCUUGAUAACCUGCCACUGUAUCAGCAGUAACCGACCUAACAACUGCGUCAAAACUUGAGUUAUAUAGGCGUUCCCGACCGCAGCGCCGUAUUCUGCAUGUUUACAUACCUCUGUAUUUGAAUACGCUUGCGCAUACCGGUUUCUUUGGCGCUUCAGUGUAUAUUGGUACAGGGGGAAACACUGUUCUCCGAAAUAUGUUACGAGAUUAUUAAUUUAUACACUGCACACGUUGGAUUCACAAAUUAUACAGCGAAGUAUGUUAUAGUAUAUACUACAUAAUACAGGGCUAUACUAUACGAUAAAACCGUUGGAAUCGACUGUUCAACGUGGAUGACCUAUAACUGUGAAGUAAAACUACAUAAUAUAUUUAUAUUUCAAAUCACAAUCCCAUUAGUUAUUGGUAACUAUCUUAUAGAUUUAAUAAAGCAUCCAACUACAGAAAAGUUUAAUUAUUUCUUGGCUAAAAAUACAUGGCAUUAACAGCUGGAGACGAUUACAGAAUGGAUCGCUGCUUGAUCCCUGAGCAGCUCUUUUUAGGUUGUAAGGUGGUUAUGUCAUUUUGAGUUUUUUGUGUUGUCGAUGUGCAUGCUAGAGAGAGAGAGAAAGAGAGCAUGUUACGUUACUGUUAAGCAAUCUUUGCUCCUGUCGUGGUGCGGUCUUUGCCUCUGCGCAGUCUGAUUCAUUCUUAGUUGAAGUGUGGUAGUUGAUGGACAUGUUCAGUGGUGCUGCGUCGACUUGUGAUGGAGUCUGUUGGAUGAAGGAAGAACGAUUGUAAAGGACAGCAAGGGUGAAUAUGAUGUAUAUGUUGGUUAGUCAUUGUUCACUUUGUUAAGCAUGGUACUGUUCAGACCAAUGUUAUGUGUACAGAUGACGCGAGAUUUUACUCUAUCUUUUUGAAUAAACACUUUUCUAAAAUCGUU